CAAUACACAUACAUAUUUGUUUAAAAAAUCAUACAAAAAUAUGUUAUCAAUCAAAGUUUAUUUAUAAAGGACUUCAUCACAAGUGUCUUAAAGGGCUGCACAAACCACAACCACAUCCUCGGCUCAGAACCCACAUCAGGGCAAGAAAAAUACUUAACUCAAUGUGUGUGAUGAGAAACAUUGGAGGGGACCGCAGAUGUGGGGACCCCCUCCUGGGCGACCAGUGCAAUGGAUGCUGAGGGGAUGUGGUUAAUAAUGUGAGAGUUCAGUCCAUGUUGGAGCCAGCAGGGGAUCAUCAUGAACGGAGACAAGUCGGCAGCGCAGUGACGUCUCCAAAUGAUGCACAGAGAAUUGGUCCACCCCGGGUCCCGACUUUGAACAGCUAGCACGUCAUCUGUGGUCACCUGAUAACCUCUACACACAGGAGAGUGGGGCAGAGCAGAAAAGAAAAGAGACGGCAGAUCAACUGGUCUAAAAAGGAGUGCCUGACCCGGGCGACCCAUGUGGUUCUUCACACGGCUGCAAAUAAAGACGUCUGCAGGUAAAAGAAGUCAAAGGUGCGACGGAGGUGGAAGAGGACACAAUCAUGGACUCUUGAUGCUGGCCAAACUAAUUACACAGCGACAGUGAUGGUAAUGAACACAACGACACAAUGCAGUCAAAAAUGUUGUCGAAAAUCUUUUUUUUUUUUGCUGAUCAUGUAUACGUCACCUUAUUGCGCAACACUGAUCUCAGAAAUAUUUCAUGCGGCGUCGCCAUUGCUCCAUGAUAAAUAUUACAGAAAGGCCUCUGCCGGGCAGACAUGCAGCAGCGGCGCGACCACUCAAGUUAAGUGCAAGAGUGCAAGUUUGAAUUGAAGAGACAUUUGGAUGAACUGCGCCCGAUGGAUUUAUUUAUAGGCAACAACGUCAGCGGGGACUCCGAGUACACCUGCUUCAAGCGCAUGCCGGACAGGUGACAUCACUCAGAAGCCGCAUGUGUUACGUGAUGGAGCCGACACGCUGUUUGUAUGCAGGAAAAGCGGACGUGACGACAGGCACAAAAAAAAGUCCAUCCAUCCAUCCUUUUUCUACCGCUUGUCCCCUUUGGGGUUGCUGUGUCCGGAAAACGCAUGGCUGCCGUUUUGUUACCCCAAGAUGCACGAACCAGGAGGAGGAUGAGCAGCUUACUGCGAGGAUUGUUCUCCUAGGAUGCAAACAGACUUUUCCGGACAACUGUUGAAGGUAGGAACAUUAUUUAAUUUUGGCUAUCAAAAAAAAAAGAACAAACAAAAAGGCGCACGAGGUGAAAACACAACUUAGACAGAACUAUGGACAAGAGACAAAACUCACUAAACUGUGGCAUGAAUAAACAAAACUUACUCGGCAGGAAAAGGAGCAGCAUGAACUACGUCGUGAAAAACGCGCAAUGUCGCCAGGGAGACAAAACAAACAAGGAAGCGCAAACAGGAACUAAUGAAG